GACGAACGCUGGCGGCGUGCUUAACACAUGCAAGUCGAACGGUAAGGCUCCAGCUUGCUGGGGUACACGAGUGGCGAACGGGUGAGUAACACGUGGGUGACCUGCCCUGCACUUCGGGAUAAGCCUGGGAAACUGGGUCUAAUACCGGAUAGGACCGCACCGUGAGGGUGUGGUGGAAAGUUUUUUCGGUGUGGGAUGGGCCCGCGGCCUAUCAGCUUGUUGGUGGGGUAAUGGCCUACCAAGGCGGCGACGGGUAGCCGGCCUGAGAGGGUGGACGGCCACAUUGGGACUGAGACACGGCCCAGACUCCUACGGGAGGCAGCAGUGGGGAAUAUUGCACAAUGGGCGGAAGCCUGAUGCAGCGACGCCGCGUGGGGGAUGACGGCCUUCGGGUUGUAAACUCCUUUCACCAUCGACGAAGGGUUUCUGACGGUAGAUGGAGAAGAAGCACCGGCUAACUACGUGCCAGCAGCCGCGGUAAUACGUAGGGUGCGAGCGUUGUCCGGAAUUACUGGGCGUAAAGAGCUCGUAGGUGGUUUGUCGCGUCGUCUGUGAAAAUUCCGGGGCUUAACUCCGGGCGUGCAGGCGAUACGGGGCAUAACUUUGAGUACUGUAGGGGAGACUGGAAUUCCUGGUGUAGCGGUGAAAUGCGCAGAUAUCAGGAGGAACACCCGGUGGCGAAGGCGGGUCUCUGGGCAGAACUGACUCUGAGGAGCGAAAGCAUGGGGAGCGAACAGAUUAAAUACCCUUGUCGUCCAAGGGCGAAUUCCCAGGGUAUCAAGCUAAGGUUCCGUCGACUCCGGGGAAAUAUAUAAUAUAAAAAAUUUUUCUCUUUAUGUACGUUUAUUAA
rnacentral:rRNA from 1 species